GUCGCCUGUAACAAUGCGUGACUGACAACUCUGAUCCUCGUUUUACCGGUGUUUAAGACUCCCUAGUCACCCCCUUCCCCCCACCAAACCCCCCACCCCCGCCUACCCACAGCUGCCAAGGUUUGGGUCAUAGGUUUGGGUACGACUACUUUUGAGCGAUGGUUUUUCUCAACUUCCUUCAGUUGCAAGAACCAGGAACCAAAAUGGCGUCCUUAUUUGAACUUGAGACGCUAGAAGCACUUCUUGGUAUGUGUAUAUUUUCCUCUUUCUCUUUUCUUUUUAAUCUUUUCUGAGAUUAUUUACCUCACGAGUUUCUUGUAGGUUCACAUGGCAAUAAAUAAAUUUAUUUUGCUUUGUCGAAAGACUCAAAACACCACGUUUAAAUGUAUUAUUAGAUGGAAUAAAAGGUUUUGUACUUUUAAUGUGUUGAUAGACCGGAACUUUGUCAGUGCAAAUACUAUUGUAUUAUAUAAUAUGGUCCAAACUUUAUCACUCGUAGAUAAAUGCACAGACCCCUCCACGGGAAAAGAGGAUUGGCGAUACGUAAAUGCGUUUUGCGACCGCGUAACCAAAGAUUAUGACGGGUAAUUACGAAAUUUUAUGUACUUUGGAAACUAGUGUGGGUUUUAAGUAUUAGUGGAAAGGGUUUUGUUGUAUUAUGUGUACUUACUGUACAUAUUUGGAUGUACAUAUUUGUACUG